rnacentral:rRNA from 1 species
UACGUAGGUGGCAAGCGUUGUCCGGAAUUAUUGGGCGUAAAGAGCUUGUAGGCGGUCUGUCGCGUCUGCCGUGAAAUUUCGGGGCUCAACCCCGAACUUGCGGUGGGUACGGGCAGACUAGAGUGUGGUAGGGGAGACUGGAAUUCCUGGUGUAGCGGUGAAAUGCGCAGAUAUCAGGAGGAACACCGAUGGCGAAGGCAGGUCUCUGGGCCACUACUGACGCUGAGAAGCGAAAGCAUGGGGGAGCGAACAGG